GAAGAUAAAUAAGAACAAAUGUGAGAGAAAGUUUGAUGAUCAUGUUAAAUAAUUCUGAAAUACUCGCUGUUGAAUGAGCAGGAGAAACCUGGCUUUGAAUUUGUUAGAAUUAUACAGAAACAUUAAAGUAUUGCCUCAUCAACACACAUCAAUUAAGAAACUGUCCUACUUGCAGCUACGGCUUUCCUGGCGGAGAAUGACAGGGUGGGAUUUUAGUCAUCAACAGUGCUCAGCUAAGGAGUCAAAUUGUGUUAAAUGAGCCCUCUGCUACUCCGUGAGAUGGUGUUGAACUUAAACACCUGAGCUGCAUGCAGGAUUUCUUUGUCCUUCUAUUGCUAGGAAAGAUGGCACAUUUACAAAGUGACUGCAAAGGUAAGGAGUUAGUGAUCAUCAUACCAAUUGUUCAUAUUUUCUGAAGGCUCUAGAGAAACACACAGCAGUCCAUUAACCAACCAAACAAGCAAACAAACCCAACAGGCAUCUGGACAGGUAGUUAAGUUGCUACUACUGAAUUUCUUACAUUUUCCCAAACAGUGAGGGGAAGUUUAGUAAAAUAAAGGUUCCUACAUGCUCAAAAAUUGUCCAACAUCUCCCAAACAAGCAGCUUACAAAAAAAAACAAAGCCCUGAAAAAUACACAGCAAAACCCUAAGGUGAAUAAUGAAGCAUGACCAAACAUUCUUUAUUUUAAAAAAUCUUCUAUAUUCUGUCUUUACUUCGAAGUUUUUUAAAAAAACAUUUGGAAAGGUUCAUCACCUGUGAAAAAUCAUAGCUUGGUGAAAAAUAUCCUAAUUUAUCACUUCAAUAUGAUACUGCAGGGAUACGCAACUACUGAAACAAGAAAAAGCAAUUUUAAGAAGUUUAUUUACCCAUUUUCUUUCUCUGAAUGUGAUACAGCAGGACUGACUCCCCUUUCUGCAAGGCAGAACCAAGUCAGCAACCUCAAACAAAACUAUUGCCAGACAACCAGUAUCUCAAUUCAUAUGUACCUAUAAUCUCCCAACUAAUGACAUCUCACUGUGGAGAACCAUAGGAAUACUAACUUGCAUGUGAGGCCUCAUUUCAGUACCAGCACUCAGUCCAGACUACCAGCCUACAGCACAUGAGAUCUGCCUACUCUGGCAGCAGUGGAUAACCAUGCAUAUGUGUGUCACACAGCCAUCCAGCUGUGUCCCCCACGUUAGGCUGUGGGCAGCACAAUAGAGCUUGUUUAAGUUCCACUUAACGCCUCUCUGUUCCCAGAAUAAGAAAACUGUGGCAACUGUGGUACUGGUUGUUAUAGAAGCUCUGUCACUGGCAGUGAUUAAUAACAAAGUGGAACAAAUACUCAUGCAGGCCAAUCCCUGGCAGGGUAGAUGAGCAGCAUUGCAAAUGUUACAUUUUCAGGACCUAAUUCAUGCGAUUCUAUCUGCUGCUCUGUUACUUUUCUGUAUAACUGUAUAACAAAGUAGGGAUGGUAGAGACUGCUUAAUCAGGACAGUCUAACCUAUGGGCAAUUAUCCAAAACCACGUAUUUUCUAAAUUCUGUGCAGAAGAGAGAUGGAGCUUAAGAGCUCUGUAGGGAUCAGAGCUGCUAACCAACUUAUAAGAAGAGCUCUGGGGAUUGGAACGGGAAUAAUGAGAAAAUCUGGAUAUUCAGCGUGAAGAACACUCCCAGUUUAGCUACAGUUACGUGUAAAUUAAACUUGUAUUUAACGUUUAUUGCUAUACAGUUCACUUUAAAAUUUCUCAUGGAAUAGCACUGGGAGAAAUUGUAUAGCACGUGAUUUUUCCCCUCUUUUGUUAUUAGUGUGACUGAGAGGAAUACCUGGGAAACUUGGCCAAGCACAAUUGGAAGUACAAUCAUGCAAUCAGGCUGUCCUGAUAGCUUCCCCUUUUUCAGGUUACAGCAUCACGCUAUGUGGUUAUUUCCAUGUUCAUGUUUAGAUAUCACAUGUAUCUGUAUACAUAGUGAUAAAUACACAUAUAUUUAUAACACAGGUAACACUACUAAAAUGAUGAGGCCUGGAGAAGCUAUAUAGUACUAGAAUUACAAAGUAAGAGGGAAAAAAAUCUUCCAGAAUACUUCAUCCUCUACUUUCUUCCAUUAUUCCUUUGACAAAACAUAAAGUGCUUCCAACAUAUUUAACUUACUGAAGUCUGAAGACAUCCUUGAUAUUCACAUUUAUUUCUAAUCUAGUUCCUUUGUUACUGAAUCAGUUUAGAAAAACUUCUCUGUUCAGGAAAGCACUUAAGCAUACACAGAAGGACAUUCUUAAAGGUAAGUAUCUUCCUGAAUAAAUCUUAUCAUUUAAUGUUAAUAAACACUCCUUAAUAAACCAUUUGGUAUAUGUUUGCAAUGCAGUGAUGUUUUUAUACUCUUUCACACUGCUCAGUUUUUACUACCAAGAAAAAAAAUAGGACAUGGAAAGGUGACUUCAAAUUUUUGUAAGUUAAGUUUAAAAUGGGUUUGAAAACCUCAUUUUCAGAAACACAACUUCAGAAAACCAAGUUCAUGAUAAACUUAUUGUCUGAGGAUCCAUCAUCAGUAAUUAUUUUGGAAAUCUUGACCUAAUCUCCUAGACAAGCAGUUAUAACCACAACAACAAACAACUCGGCUUCCAGUUUGAAGCAGCAGUAAUUGAAUUGUGAAUAGUUGCUGGGAUUGAUCACAACUGAAAUGUGCAAAUGAGCAUGAGUGUGUAUGUCUGUGUUUGUAUGUAUAUAAAGCAUAAACCACAUAAACUUUUAGGGAGGGAGCGAGCUCCCCUUUCACAGACUCAGUCGGACAAGGCUAUCUGAAUGCAAACAAAGUGUUCCUGAAACACUCUUAUCACGUCUCCUCUUCCUCUGCAAAAAAUCACACAUGCUAAACUCAAGAAUUGGGCAAAUUCUGCGACCAAGCACUUCAGCUGUGGUACAACAAAGGUAAUGCAAAAACAGACAGUGACUAAGCAAGGGCAUUUCUACUUUCCUUGUCAGUGUUCCUAGCCAUGAACUCAUGCUCUCCCACUGCUCUUUCAGCUGUGGAGCUUCAAUGUGAAUCUUCCUGCAAGACUGUUGUGAAACCUUUUCUCCCUAUACAGUUCAGCAAAUAGUACCUCAACAUGCUGUAUUUGCACAGUUGAAGGAAAAGCAAAAUAGUGAAUUAGCAACAGGAAAUAGUGAGAGGUGACAGAGAAAAAGGCAACAAUGUCACUAGGAUCUGUAGGAUCUACAGAAGACCUUGAUCACUGGUCACAUUUUAUAAAAGUCCAGGGACAAUCUGUAAGCUCUGAAUUGUUCCUCAGUAUUAUAAUUCAACAGAUGUCCGGAAAAGCAGUCUUAUGCCAGAAGAACUUGGAGAGAAAGGUGAUCUAAAUGCACCUGGCAUGUAAAUCCAAUCAGCUUGCCACACAAGAGGGAUUUAUCCUCUCUUUGUAUUUUUAGUUUUAUAAUGGCCAUGGUGAUCUUAGCAUCCCUGAUCCAUGCAUCCCUAGUGUACUUAAUGUCUCAUUUGGUAUAUAGAAUAGAACAGAGCGGAGCACAGCAGAAUGGAAUGGAAUGGAAUGGAAUGGAAUGGAAUGGAAUGGAAUGGAAUGGAAUGGAAUGGAACGGAAUGGAAUAGAAAAGAAUAGUUGGAAAGGAUCAACAAAGAUCACUGAGUCCAACUGCCAGACCACUUCAGGGACAAUAAAAAUAAAAGCAUAUUAAUGAGUCCUCUUGGAUACUGACAGGUGUGGGGCAUCAACCACCUCACAAGGAAGUCUAUUACAGUGUUCUAUCACCCUCAAGGUAAAGAAAUGUUUACUAAUGCCCAGACUGAGCCUUCUCUGGUACAGCUCUGUGCCAUUCCCGUCCUACCAUUGGUUCUCAGGAGCAGAGCCUGGCACCUCCCCCUGGCACUUCACCCUCAGGGAGCUGCAGAGAGCAGUGUGGUCAACUCUCUGCCUUCUCUUCUCCAGAGUGGGCACCCUAGCCCCUCUCACACAGCAUUACUUUGCUUUUAUGUUGUGGAGAAAAGGAUGGCAUGCUGUAUAGGUGAGACUGCACCAAUGUAAAAUGUAGCAGGGCAAUCAUGUGACUGGCUAUGCUGUGCUUAAUGCAUCCCACAAAGUGUUUAGCUCUUUAUUUUCCUAAUAAGACGGAACUGGCUUGAAAUAAAGUUUUGCAAAAAGUGGACUGAGAUUUCAAAAUUCAUGCUUUCAAAAUUUGUAUAAAAAGAGAAAUAACAUUUAUCAUAUGUUAUUGGAGGGGAGGUUACAGGGUUACAGGUCAAAAUACCCAUGUACCCAUGCAUAAGAGAACAAAAGACAUCUCUUCCCCCUCCCCCCCCCCCCCCCCCCCGCCCCCCUCCCCACACACACACAUACUCCUUCUUACUAAGCUCCCCUUCCAAAGCAGAGCAGCUCAGAUGUCAGACCAACCAGAGCAGAGACACCCAGGUCAGUUUUGCCUCUGCAGAAUUUCCAUCUUGCUCCUUCCAAGUCUUGCUAUUGAAGUUUUCUCAAAGACAACACAACCUCUUCUUCCUCAGCAGUGAGAAAAGAAAUAUGCGACUGUGUGCCAUGUUGCAGCUAUUUGUGUAGCCUCUCCCACUAUGAGCAUUUGGCAAACCCCCAUUUCUUGAGAAACUGCAUUUAGUUUGUGGCACUGCUACAAAAGUAGACUGUGAAAGCAGCACUUCUACUAACACACCAGUAAAAAUCCCAAGCUAGAGAUUUUGAAGAUGAUGUCAAUCCAAUAUUCCUCCUACACACGUGAAACCAAAAAUUGCCAUAAAGACUGCUAUAGAUUAAAAUUCUCUUAAAUGGGCUGUUACAAUAAAUAAGCAAAUUAGUUCUUAGAACCAUAGAACACAGCUCCAGUCAGAACAGCACAGAAGAGUUGAAUUACAUCAGGCAUAUUUUCAAGCCUGUUAUCAAAACUAUCAAUCAUGUCCCAUCUAACAAGAAUCCUGCAACAUUAAAACUUCAGCAAAUACAGAAAUUGUCAUAAGGAAUAAAGAUUGCUUCAAAAUUGUCUUUGCUGUGAAGCACAAAGUUUGCAUUCAUGUAGUCGUACGCAUCUCCACUGACCUCAGACAACCUGUGGGAAGAUGUAAACAAGAUAAAAGCUGUCUGGAGCUACAUGAGCUAACCACAGCCUGCCUGUGGACUAUGGAUAUAAUCUCUCCAUUUUGUCUCAGAUAGACAGGAAAGAAAAAUAUUCUCUGUUAUCUUGAUGACAGAAGCCUCAGAGAUGGAUUGAAGAUCCCCAAUCAGAAUGAAAGAUGUUACUCAGCUUUAACGUGGUGCUGGCAAACUUUGCUCAGAUGGAAGCAUCAGAGCCAGAGCUGUAGCUAUCCCUUGUAUCAACAGUGUCUGGAUAAUCUCAACUGGAAACACUAAAAUCAGUCUAUCAACUUUAAUGAGAACAUACAGGUUUAUAAGCUCUACAAAUUUACUAUACUUUUGCCCAGGGCCUACUUGCAUACUUUAGAGAACAGUCUUUUU
ensembl:lncRNA